rnacentral:rRNA from 1 species
UCGACUUGGAGGUUGUGCCCUUGAGGCGUGGCUUCCGGAGCUAACGCGUUAAGUCGACCGCCUGGGGAGUACGGCCGCAAGGUUAAAACUCAAAUGAAUUGACGGGGGCCCGCACAAGCGGUGGAGCAUGUGGUUUAAUUCGAUGCAACGCGAAGAACCUUACCUACUCUUGACAUCCAGAGAACUUUCCAGAGAUGGAUUGGUGCCUUCGGGAACUCUGAGACAGGUGCUGCAUGGCUGUCGUCAGCUCGUGUUGUGAAAUGUUGGGUUAAGUCCCGCAACGAGCGCAACCCUUAUCCUUUGUUGCCAGCGGUCCGGCCGGGAACUCAAAGGAGACUGCCAGUGAUAAACUGGAGGAAGGUGGGGAUGACGUCAAGUCAUCAUGGCCCUUACGAGUAGGGCUACACACGUGCUACAAUGGCGCAUACAAAGAGAAGCGACCUCGCGAGAGCAAGCGGACCUCAUAAAGUGCGUCGUAGUCCGGAUUGGAGUCUGCAACUCGACUCCAUGAAGUCGGAAUCGCUAGUAAUCGUAGAUCAGAAUGCUACGGUGAAUACGUUCCCGGGCCU